GAUAUAUCAGAGCAAUUUUAUGCUUCUGUUGGUAAAAUAACGUUAGACUUGUUAGAGCUUUGAAUAAUUUUACAUUUCACAUAUUAGUGGCAACACUAAAACUUCCAAUUUUCGUCGGCGACAACUGCAAGCCUGCUACUGAGAAGUCGUGCUAUUGUCUAAAUAACUGUGCCCAUAAGAAAGUGUGUAUUUAAAUAUUUGACAGAUGCUCCCUGUCUCUAGUCGUCCUCUAUUCGUUCAACAUUUAAACAAAUUCAUAUGUACUUAAGUGCACCGGAUUGUGAUCAUGUGUAUUUGUUGUACUGUCUGCUUGUCAUGAGUUUUCAUUUUACUUAUACAUUUUUUGAUAAGCAAGACCGCCACAAGUCUGUGAAAAUAAAAACGAAGAUUUUGAAAAAGACACACUACUACGACGCAAUAGUAAAUACACGAAGUGCUCAGUUGCUUCUUUCGCUCAUAUUUGUUUGAGAAGAUAUUCGCAGUAUAUAAGUACAUGUGUUUGAGUGGGAGUGGCCAUCGCUACCGAUUUUAAAGCAACACAGUAAAAAACAUAUGGAUUAAUACCAAAAUCGAGUUAUAAAGGAGUAAUGACUUGUUCAUCCAUUUCGAUCAUUAAGUGAGAUAUAAAGGCAUUUUUGCUUAUUACUCCAAAAAGUAUCAAAAAGGGGUAUACCAUAACGGUAAAUCUUAACUGUUAAUUAUUGUGAAAUUCUUUUUUUUUCAAUAAACGCGUAUUUUGUCUCUUAAAAUUAGUCUGAAUUUUGUAAUCAACGCAUGAACGUGGCAGAAUCAAGUAUCGCGAAUAAAUACAGUUAUGACAUGGGUAAAAAGUGAUUAAUUAGAGUAACAAAUGUAAUUAUUUAUAAAAAAUAUAUUCUAAUAUUUAUUCUAAGCUAAGUGACGGCGAUUAGUGAAAAGUGAAGCGAUAAAAAAUGUGGAAAGUAAACUUGAUUGCCUCUCAACCAAAUACGAAAUGUUAAACGAAAUUAUGUGCAAACAUACAGUAUUUUGGGAUACGCUUGGAGAAACCUUAUCCAGCCCAGCUUGCAAAUUUUUCCAAUUAAUUUCCUGUUGGAGCUAAAUUCAACAGAAGAGCUGAUUAAACCAAACCGGAAUCCGAAGUGAUUUGCUAUAUAAAAUCCAUGUUCGAUUAAGUCAAGCUUGAAAAGAAUGGCUCGAAAAACCAAACAGCGAUAAUUAAAUACAGAUUGCUUAACUUUUUAAUAUUCGAAAUCGAUUAAAUUGGCCUUUCGAAAAUGUAAAGCAACUUUUUAUCGAAAGACCUAUUCACUAAAAUCUGCUCCGACUAAGAACUCCUCGUAAAUAUUAAAAUUACCUCUACCAAAUACUAACUUUAUUUUUAAUUAUUAUAACUAUAUUUAUGAAGUGAAUUACUAAUUCUUUUAUUUUAAAAAUAAAAAUAAAAUAUUUAAAAAA